UACGUAGGGCGCAAGCGUUGUCCGGAAUUAUUGGGCGUAAAGAGCUCGUAGGCGGUUUGUCCGCGUCUGCCUGUGAAAUCCCGAGGCUCGAACCUCGGGCUUGCAGUGGGUACGGGCAGGACUAGAGUUGCGGGUAGGGGAGACUGGAAUUCCGUGGUGUAGCGGUGGAAUGCGCAGAUAUCAGGAGGAACACCGAGUGGCGAAGGCAGGUCUCUGG
rnacentral:rRNA from 1 species